UACAGGGGGUGCGAGCGUUGCUCGGAAUCACUGGGCGUAAAGCGUACGCAGGCGGACCGUUAAGUCGGGUGUGAAAGCCCGGGGCUCAACCCCGGAAUUGCAUUCGAUACUGGCGGUCUUGAGUACGGGAGAGGUGAGUGGAAUUCCUGGUGUAGAGGUGAAAUUCGUAGAUAUCAGGAGGAACACCGGUGGCGAAAGCGGCUCACUGGCCCGAUACUGACGCUCAUGUACGAAAGCGUGGGGAGCAAACAGG
rnacentral:rRNA from 1 species